CCUCUCCGUGUGUCCCAUUUUCUUCCUCCUCUAGAGUGUAUUUAUAGGCUUUGGAAUGCUUAAGAGCCCUCAAAAUUAGCCUUUUCUGAAUUGAACUCAACUUGGGCUCAGCAGGGACUCACCCGUGUGACACGCCCGUGUGCGAUUACUUCAGGCCGUGCUCGAGCCUGGCAAAUGGACACGGCCGUGUGGUCUACCCAUGUGAGGAGGUCCAGGCCGUGUUAUUUUUGCACUUUAGCCCAUUUUCUCCGUCUUUGGCCCGUUUCUCGUUCUUUUCACUCUCCUAUGCUCUCCUAAGUAUAAAACAUGAAAUAAAAG
rnacentral:lncRNA from 1 species